rnacentral:tRNA from 2 species
GGGUCUGUAGCUUAAUUGGGAAAGCGUCUGCCUUGCAAGCAGGAAGAUGUCGGUUCAAAUCCGACCAGAAUCCACCA